rnacentral:rRNA from 1 species
GUCUAUGGCCAUACCACCCUGAACGUAUCUAAUCUCUGAUCUUGGAAGCUGAGCCAGGUCAGGCCUGGUUAGUGCUUGGUUGGGGGAAACAAUGGUGUCUGUGGUUG